rnacentral:rRNA from 1 species
UGGGGAAUCUUGGACAAUGGGGGCAACCCUGAUCCAGCCAUGCCGCGUGGACGAUGAAGGCCUUAGGGUUGUAAAGUCCUUUGACCGGUGAAGAUAAUGACGGUAGCCGGAGAAGAAGCCCCGGCUAACUCCGUGCCAGCAGCCGCGGUAAUACGGUGGGGGCUAGCGUUGUUCGGAAUUACUGGGCGUAAAGCGCGCGUAGGCGGGCAUUUAAGUCGGGGGUGAAAUCCCGGGGCUCAACCCCGGAACUGCCUCCGAUACUGGAUGCCUAGAGGUCGAGAGAGGUGAGUGGAAUUCCGAGUGUAGAGGUGAAAUUCGUAGAUAUUCGGAGGAACACCAGUGGCGAAGGCGGCUCACUGGCUCGAUACUGACGCUGAGGUGCGAAAGCGUGGGGAGCAAACAGGAUUAGAUACCCCGGUAGUCC